CCUACGGGAGGCAGCAGUGAGGAAUAUUGGUCAAUGGGCGGAAGCCUGAACCAGCCAAGUAGCGUGCGGGAUGAAGGCCCUACGGGUCGUAAACCGCUUUUGCACGGGGAUAACACCCUCCACUUGUGGAGGUCUGCAGGUACCGUGCGAAUAAGGGCCGGCUAAUUCCGUGCCAGCAGCCGCGGUAAUACGGAAGGCCCGAGCGUUAUCCGGAUUCAUUGGGCUUAAAGGGAGCGUAGGCGGGCGUUCAAGUCAGCUGUAAAAUCGCGCGGCUCAACCGCGCCCCGCAGUUGAAACUGGACGCAUUGAGUUCACAACAGGCAGGCGGAAUUCGUGGUGUAGCGGUGAAAUGCAUAGAGAUCACGAGGAACCCCGAUUGCGAAGGCAGCCUGCCGGGGUGCGACUGACGCUGAGGCUCGAAGGUGCGGGUAUCAAACAGGAUUAGAUACCCCAGUAGUC
rnacentral:rRNA from 1 species